CGUCACCUUCACGGCGGGAGACAGACAAGAACAGAGAGCAGCCGUCAAACCAAGCAGAGCCCAGGCCUGGUCCCAGGGUCCCUCUGCACCGGGCCAGGUGGACAGCAAAGCGCCUGCCUGUGGUGGCUCCCAGGGCAGUCUACAGGAGGGCGGAACCCAACCACCUCUGCACAUCCCUUCCUGCUCAGCGAUUGGAGAAACCAUCAGACAGUCCUACCCUGAAUAUACACGGGACGUCUCGGCGCGUGGCGUGGAUGACAUCUGAGGCCAGGACUGAGCUCACAGAAAACUCUUCGUCUCUGACAAGAAAAAAACUAUUCAGAGCCCAGUACAGAUGGGCACGGCCUGGCCCCACCCUUUGCCAGCAUGGUGCCUGCUAGGAAGGGCGCGUCCACCCCUGAGGGCAGCCCCUCUGUAGCCCAGGGCUCCGGCAAAGGCACCAACAUCUUGGAGGGGCGGGCACCCCCGCUCUGGUUUUACACUGUAAUGUGCCCAAGUCCCAUAGCAAAGUGUGGCCUGCACUGACCACAGGUCAACCCUGGGCUCUGUGUCUGUCACAGAGCAGGCUCUGCCCCAGACGGCGCUGGGAUUCGAGCCCAUGCCAGGCCAGGGCCACAGAAGUGGACAGCGUCACUUUGUGGCUGACGCGCCGUUGGCUCUUGCAGUGCUGGGGGGUGCCUGCCUGGUACUCCUGCUCCCAAAGAAAAUGCUGGAAACUGGGUCUCUGGGCCAGGCUAUGUGGCACUGGGCUGACGACACCAAGUGGCCCUCACGUAUGGACGGCCUGUGUGUACUGUGUGUGGCGUGUCUCUCACGUACAGACGGCCUGUGUGUACUGUGUGUGGCGCGUCUCUCACGUACGGAUGGCCUGUGUGUACUGUGUGUAGUGCAUCUCCAGUAAUUGGCUUGACCCUCAGCCCAGCCCUCUGUGUGGGCAGUGGGGUCCUUGCCGGUGUCACAGACAUGGAGUCUGAGGACAGAGACGCGGGUGCAGGGCCACUCUCGCACGGGUCUGACGCUCAGCCCUGGUGCCAAGCUUCCGGCACAGGCUGUGCCUCUGCCGAGUUCCUGCUGUUCGUGGGCACAGAGUCACAUGCUAAAUGUCUACCUGGCAAUUUUUUCUUA